CUCCAUUCGUCUGUCCUCAUGCUGGGCAUACUGUAGACGCCACUGACACAGGGGGCAUUGUUGUUGGGGACACAGGGCGAGUGAGGAACGUGGACGGGAUUGUGGGUCCACAGGGCAAGAGAGGAG